UGAUGCGGUUUGAGCCCCGCUGAUCAACUCUCUCUGCAAGUUCACCGAUCGAGCUACGAUUGUGUUCACUCUUAAGGCUCUGUUGCGUGUUCUGGAAGAGUAUUUUUAUGAGAGGAAUUGACUUUUGAGCUUUGGCUGGUGCUUUCCCUCAAGAAACUCCGAAGGUCCUCUUGCAAACGACGGAAGAAGUUGAGUGACACUGCUUAUCUGCUCUCGUUCUUCCAAGCCUUCUAUUAGCUCUAGUUUUUUUCUUUGGGUAUUGUGGACCUAUAGGCUUUAUGAUUUUUUAGGGCUUUUGGGCUCUAUCUCGUA
rnacentral:misc_RNA from 1 species